CGUUCCCGGGCCUUGUACACACCGCCCGUCACACCAUGGAAGCCAGCUGUACCGGAAGACGAUAAAGAUAACCGUAAGGGGUCUUUCGGCGAAGGUGGGGUUGGUGACUGGGGUG
rnacentral:rRNA from 1 species